AGUAACUGCGAGUGAAGUGGGAAGAGCUCAAAUUUGAAAUCUGGCAGUUCUGAACUGUCCGAGUUGUAAUCUAGAGAAGUGUUAUCUGUGCUGGACCAUGUACAAGUCUUCUGGAACGAAGCGUCGCAGAGGGUGAUAAUCCCGUGUCUGACAUGGACUACCAGUGCUUUGUGAUGCGCUCUCAAAGAGUCGAGUUGUUUGGGAAUGCAGCUCUAAAUGGGUGGUAAAUUCCAUCUAAAGCUAAAUACUGGCGAGAGACCGAUAGCGAACAAGUACCGUGAGGGAAAGAUGAAAAGAACUUUGGAAAGAGAGUUAAACAGUACGUGAAAUUGUUGAAAGGGAAACGCUUGAAGUCAGUCGCAUUGGUCAGAAAUCAAUCUUGCUCUUUCAGCUUGAUGUAUUUUCUGAUUCAAUGGGUCAGCAUCAAUUUUGACCGGUGGAAAAAGGUCGAGAGAAUGUGGCAUCUUUUAGAUGUGUUAUAGCUUUCGGUUGAAUACAUCGGUUGGGAUUGAGGAAUUCAGCAUGCCGCAAGGCCGGAUUUCAAUCACGCUCAUGCUUUGGAUGCUGGCAUAAUGGCUUUAAUCGACCCGUCUUGAAACACGGACCAAGGAGUCUAACAUACCUGCAAGUGUUUGAGUGGAAAACUCGAGCGCGCAAUGAAAGUGAAAGUUGGGAUC
rnacentral:rRNA from 1 species